UACGUAGGGUCCGAGCGUUGUCCGGAAUUACUGGGCGUAAAGAGCUCGUAGGUGGUUUGUCGCGUUGUUCGUGAAAACUCACAGCUUAACUGUGGGCGUGCGGGCGAUACGGGCAGACUUGAGUACUACAGGGGAGACUGGAAUUCCUGGUGUAGCGGUGAAAUGCGCAGAUAUCAGGAGGAACACCGGUGGCGAAGGCGGGUCUCUGGGUAGUAACUGACGCUGAGGAACGAAAGCGUGGGUAGCGAACAGG
rnacentral:rRNA from 1 species